rnacentral:lncRNA from 1 species
AUGCUAGAAGAAAACAACUCAAAAGAAACCCGUAUCAUCUUGCAAAGAAAUAUCGGCUUGUUCUUCUUCCAAUCGCUCCUUUUUCCAAAAUUUUGUGUAGUUGAAUGGGAGGAACGCCGUGCAAGGGUGCACGACGUUCCCCUGCUUAAGGGCCGUGAUUUAGAAGCAUCCUAGGGGUGUACGGCGUGCAUAGGUGCACGACGUGCAACCCCGCUACUCAUCCAUUUCAUUUCUCAUUCUUCCGUUCAAGCUCCAACUAUGCUCUACUUCACGUUCAUUGCUUCAAAACAAGACCACCUAUCUCUAGAGUACCUGUGGACAACAAAUACUACAAAGAAACAUAUCAAAUAGACCGAAACUGUCCAAAUGAACGGGUCUAGGCACAUAAUGCCAAAACACAAAAUCACACGAGAAUGAAGCUCGAAUAAACUAAUAAUCACUCAAAAAGCAUGCAUAUAAGGAUAGAUAAUUGUUACAAAUUCUAACCUUAUCAUAUAUAUCCCGGCUUUUCAUAAUUUUAUUUAAGAUGUGUUUCAUUUGAAUGUAUGUAACUUGAAUAAUCACUUCAAAUUUGUAGGUUUUUAGGAAAGUUGAAAGGGUUUGUUGGCAAUAGAGCAAAACCAGAAGGAUCAAUUGUUGAAGGUUGGAUAUCAGAACAAAUAUUCACCUUCUGCUCGUUGUACCUGGAUAGUUAUGUUGAGUCAUGAUUGAAUCAUGAAAGACGGGUCCAUGAACCGGAAGGAGCAAUCAAUCAUACCUUGAAAUAUUUUUCCAUUAGUGGGCAAAGCAGUAGGGAGUGGAAAGCCUUACAAGUUAAAAGAGCACGAGAUGCUAUAAGCACAUAGAUAUGUGUUGUUCAACUACGAAAGUGUUGGACCGUUUAUCAAGGAGUAUGAAUCUAUAGUAAAGGAUAAGUAUCAAGGAGUGAUAGCACAAUGGAGAGCAGCCUUAGAAAUAAAGAAAACUGUACAUCUUGAAUUUCCAAACUGGUUUAGAUGGCGGGUAAGUCUUGUCAAUAGUUUUUGUAACAGAAUGUUUCCUACACUAUGGUUAAUUAGCUAUUAACAUUGAAUUUUAUAUUUGAUGAAGAUCAUCUAUGAUAAAGAUCCGACUGAUUUCAAAUUGCUAGUAAGAGGUCCUUUCUAAUAAGCAACCAAGGUUUCAACAUUUGAUGUGAAUGGCUACCGACUCCGCACUCUGGAACGGGAGGGUUUGUUAACUUCGGUACUCAAAGUUAUGCUAGUUCAGUAGACAUUAACCCGGUGGAUGGUUCAGUCUCAUAUUAUGUGAAAUUGGAAGACAUCAUUCAAUUGAAUUACUUCGAACGAUUAGUCAGAUUAUUCAAAUAUAAGUGGGCUUAUACCCUAACAAAUAUGGGGUACAGGAAAGAUGAUCUUGGAUUUGAGUGUGUUAACUUCUCUCAUGUAAUACACACUGGUAGUCAAGAUGGAGAUGAGCCAUACGUGGCAGCAAGUAUUGCCAAGAUAGUAUACUAUGUUACUGAGGUGAAGGAGCCAUAAUUGUGUGUUCCGGUUCAUAUUAAACCGAGGGACUUGUAUGAAAUGGGUGAUGAAACCAAUUCAUGACAUGUAUCUGAGGCAUUCCAGCGCCAAGAGUUGGCUAAUGUUGAUGAUGGAUCAAACCAAUCUCUCUCACGGUUCGAUGUGGAGGCAGAAUUUGAUUGAGGCAUUAUACCUUUUCCAACAUUUUAUUGUUCAAAUUAAUGCAUAUAUUUUAUUUAUAGUCAUUAGUCUCUGAGUGUAUUAUAUGAUUCCAAUCAUGGAAGACGUUAUGGGAGGUAGUAGCGCUGGAGGGCAUGGAGGUGAUGAUGAUGAUCAGCGGCGUGCAAUGGAGAAGGAGGCGUCGGAGUGGUAUCUGUGUUGCAUGUACGGUAUGUAUUCUGACUCAACUAUAUAUCAUGUAUGUAUAAUGUAUAUGUGUGUGUUUGUAAAAUAUAUGAUGUAUUGGUUUGGUAGAUAAAAAUGGUAACCAGUCUGAUGAAAAGUGGACGGUUAGAGAGUGGAGCAACGUUGGGCAGGAUGGGAGGAGAAUUUUCAUCGAGUUGGAUGCGGGCCGGGUGCCUUACAAACGAUCGGGCCAGUACCUACGACAGGUGCUUGGGAAGAUCAUCAAACUGGAACACUUCCCCAUUGGCCACGACGAUUGGCGCUCUAUGAGCGACUUGGACAAGGCCGAUUGUUGGCAUCCACUCAUAGAGGUAAAUAUUAGAGUAUUUUCUAUCUCUUCUUUAGAGGAUUAGAGUAUAUUAUAUCUUUUAUCAAUGGUUUGUUAAAUCAAUCUAUAUAUGUAGCCUAAAUUCUGUUGGAGGCCUAAGGAUGAUAAAGAUAUACGAAAGUAUAUCUUCCAAGAUCUAGGGAAGAAGUGGAGAGAGCAUCGAGGGGCAGUUUGGAAGAAAUUCCAUGACCCAAAAAAUCCUAAGACUAUACCUGAGUAUGUAGCAGCGAAGCUUAAUCCCGAUUAUGAAGUUCACGAUUGGGACAAGUUGGGAACAGAAGGAGUAAGGAGAUCGACAAUUAACAAGGACAACAGAAAGAAACAAUCGAUCUACCAUACAACCGGGUCGAAACCAUUCAACAUAAUGCAACAACAACUGUUAUGAAUUAAAAUUGAAAGUGCAUUAGUUUCCUAAAUUUCAAAGCUAAACGUCAUGUGUACAUGGUUUCCUAGGAGGAAGAAAAAGGAGGGCCAAUUAGUAGGGGAGACCUCUUCCUAGAAACUCGCAAGCCGGGUAGGAAGAAGAAGAAGUUCCCCAAUGAUGCAACGGAGGAGAUGUAUGUAAUUAUUCAAGUACCCUAUGUAUGAACUUUAAUUUGUAUGUUCUUUCUAUAUAUAUGUAUGGUGGAAGUACAUUCUUAACUAUAUAUGUUUCCUUUUUUGUGCAUGAAGAAUCAAGUGGGAAGGAAUAUCAAUGAUCCAACCAUUGAUAAUUCACAUAUUGGUCUAAAUGAUGUUAUGGGGAGAUGCUAUCAAGGAAAAGAGAAGCCGGGAAGACUGCAUCAUAUGGGAUUUGCCAAGUAGCCUUCGGUGGUAAGUUUACUAAAACCAUAUAUGUUUGUAGUUAGAAGAAAAAUAUAAUCUAAAUGACUUGACAUGGGUUAGUGAAUUUGUUAAUGAACAUGUUAUGUGAUUGUUGGCUUGUUUGUGAAUUUGGCAUGUACUUCGUUUGCUAAUAUUGCAGUUGGAAGAGUACGUGUUAGUAGUAUAUACAGAUAUGUCAUGUCCGAUUUUCUGUAAACUUAAUAAGUCUUGUGUUCAUUUUUAAGGUGUUUGGUCGCGUUCAAGCAGCACACACAGUACUUUUCCUCCUCGACCAGUUCAAGUCGAGGACCCGGUCAUGCAACAGUUUGCAAAACUUGUACUUGCGGAGUUUCAAAAGCAGCCUGGUACUCUCUCCCCCCGAGUUGUAGGUGAUGGAUCGAGUAUUGAAAGGUUCUGCACCGGACUCAUCUGGAGCUUCCAGAUCAUCGGCAGCUUCCAAAGGAAAAAGAAUGCUGAGAAUAGCCAACCAGCAUCGGACGAGAAGGAGCAGGAUGAGGAUGAAGACGAGUAGGUUGUAGGUUGCUAUGUUAUUAUUAUUGUCACUCCAAUGAUGUAGUAACAAUAUUUAACUUUCGAAUGAUGUAGUAACGGUAAUGUUAGAAUGAUAUAAAACUACGUUUAUUUUCUACAUGUGUACUAGAAUUCUAAAUAGUACAAAUUUUGAUUUCUAAAUUGCAAAAAAGAAUUCUGGAACUGGGCUACUUGUUUUGGAAAUUAUGGUCUGUGAUAUAACAGCGGAUUAUAACCGCUGUUAAAUCUAACAUCGGAUAAUGUCCGCUGUUAAAAAUAACAACGAAUUUUAUCGGUUGUUAGGUUAACAAGGGAUUCGAAACCACCGUUAGGUAAUCUCACAUUAUUUACCCUAAUGACGGAUUUCUAUCCGCUGCUAAACCAUGUAAUAGCGGCUAAUCAGCUGUUAAAUUAGAAUAAUAUUCUCCAUUAAAAUGGACUGAUUAUUGUAGUGUUCGUCACUUGUUGGUUUUGAUUGAUCAACUUGCAUGGGGCUUUCUGUUACUGACAAACUAUGUAUAAUGUCUCUAUAAAAACCUAUUCGAUGGUCAAGUAGCAUGGAUAAAUGUACAUAUUCAACUCAUAUUUAGCAUUCAAUGUCAUUUAGCAUUGCCAUUAAGGGAGAAAGCUAAGCUAAGGGAGAAGAAAAUAUAUGAAAAGAUCCAGGUGGGUUGAUGCAUGAACCCAGUAGCUAGUCAGAUAUCUGGGACCUGUUACUCUAUCUUAAGGGCAUAAUUAAUUAAUUAAUUAAUUGAUGAUCCGGAAUAUCGUGAGUGAACAAACACUUAACCAAAAGUAGGGUCUAGAAUGGAUGGGGUAUAGUUUUACCAAGAAACAGACUUUUUCUAUCAUAAAACCAAUUCAAUUUGCUAAUCCUUAUCCAGAACACUCAGAUGCUUACGAGUGGCUUCAUUUUACUUUUUUCUAUGGGAUAAAUACAAGAGGAGGCAAAUAGUGAUCUUGACAUUUUCUUGACUAGCCUAGCAUAAUAAAGAGUUAUAAUUAGGAGAAACAGAAAUGUUGGAGAGUGAUGGAAGACGAUGUUGAUAUUUAUUCCCUCACGUAGGAGGAAGAAAAAGGUCAUGUUCACGUCACUUGUCGACACCCAACUAGCUACUUAUUAUUGUUUAUAUAUGUGGCCUUUUCUGGACAAUAUGUAAUAUAUAUGUAUCUUAACUUUACACGUUAUUUAACCAAUUCUUGUUUAUAUCCGAUAACAUUGGGUUGGUGUAGCUAUUUAUGGUUGGUUGAUCAAUUUUCAAAAAGGGUAAAUAUUAUAGUUAAUUUGAAUUCUUUGAAUCGUACUUAAAUUGAUUUGCAUGUUGGAGAUUUUUUGGGCUUUAAUUUGUUUAAAGGGAUUUUCGUUUUGAUUUUUAAUUUAUCAAGAAUUAUGUUCGAUAAAAAGUAUACAAAUUCGUUUAGUUUUUGUGAAUCUUCUCUUCAUGUUGUCACUUUCCUUUUGUUAUUCAUGAUGUUGGUGCAAAUUCAUUAUUGUUAAUUGAAAAAUAAAAACGACUGAGUUUUUGAAGUAUUCUAAAAUCCUUUAGUUAGUCUCCUAUCAAAGUAUAGUGCAAUUAGUCUUUUUUUAUGUUAGGAAAAUUUUAUCCUAAUUGUUAGGAUACUNNNNNNNNNNNNNNNNNNNNNNNNNNNNNNNNNNNNNNNNNNNNNGUUGGUUGUGUACAGAUCAUAUGUUAGUCUCGUUAGUAGGCGGAAGACACCAUACGAUAUCGGUCUCGGCAUUCCUGCUGAACCGCUCUUCCGAUCUUUUUUCCAAUGAGAAGUAACCAACCAUUGUUUAAAAGAGCAUCUGUUUUGGAAUAACAUGUACCGGUAUUUAUUUUAUGUUUCCAAGUAAUCCAUCACACCGACGUCAUAUAAUCUUUCAUGUAUCCUAAUCUUAAAACCUGUAGUAUUUUUAAACAAUUUAAUUAUUACUGCAUAUAAGGUUGCACAAAUAUUAAUCUACAAAGUCCACUUUUUAAAUCUCCAAUCACCAAAUUCCAAUCAAAAUUUUGUGAAUACGUCAUGUUCCGAAUCAAUCUAUACACAUCAAGUCACUGUUUAUCCACAAUUAAACUUUAAGCACACAUUGUUCUCUAUAGAAUCCUACUGAUGCAUUACUAAUAACAUGUACCAAUUUAAGAUUGCUAGAACAUUAGAGUCCAUCUAUAAUAAUGGCAAUCGCCAAAAUCUUUUAGUUAAAAAAACUCAAAAUCGAUUGCGAAUAAAUUGGAAGUUUGCAAUGUAACAAAAUCAAACAGGAGCAACCUGCAACAGUAUGAUAAAUAAGUACAUCGAAGAAAAAAAAUAUGUACCCACUAAGAACAAUAAUUAGAAGAGCCUCAUUGUUGACAAAAUCAUAUUAAAGCAGAUUUCUAGAAAGAAUUGGUACAAAUAAGAAGGAAUCGGUGAUAAGAAAUGUAAACUAACCUCUACACUUGUAUCAGACUGGUGCUUAUUGGUAUUCUUUCGAUUGUUCACAUUGCGAGAAGGAUUUACAAUCUUCGAUCUAUUCGUCGCCGUUGGUUGUUUUCCAGAACGAAAACAUGUCGUUCGGGGAGGAGAGACGAUGGCAUAUUCAACAAGGAUUGUUGUUGAUGAGGAAAGGGAGGUCGGCAACGAUACCCUAAACUGAGGAAGAAUGAGCGCUCGACAUGACAAUGGCGACAAAAGUGGGAGAAGAUGGGCGGUCGUCGGCAAUCAACUUUCUCUCAUGAAAUAAUGGGUGUCGGCAUCGGAUUUUAGUUAGGAACAAAGGUCGGAUGUCAAUCUCCG